rnacentral:piRNA from 1 species
UAAGGUGAAUUUUAUUUUUCC